ensembl:lncRNA
GGUCUCUUUCUUACUUGGUGUACUCCCAGAGGCUGAAAAGUGAGGCUGGUUUGUUUUAGGAAUAAUGUGAGCUUUUUCCUCUGGCCAUUCACUCAGCUCCACUAAAUCUUUCUGUAGCAUGGCUGGUGCAGGGAGCUGCUGAAAACAGGUGGUGCUUACAGAAAUGCUUCGAGCCACUGGGGAAAAUCUCAGGUUCUCCUUCUCAAGCAAUUAGAUAUCCUGCAACUUGAGCUAGCUCUUUUACCUGGGGCUAUAGGGGUGUCUUCUAGUCUGGCCCUUUAUCCCCAUCUUGUCAGUGACUAGAGUUCUCAACAAUGAGAAUGGCUAACUGGUUAAGAGGAAGACAUUUGUACACAUGAAUAGGACCCUAAAACCACAUGGGGAGAAAUUAGUGGGGAGAAACUUUUAAAAGAGAAUUGAAUCAGAACACAUUCUGUGGAUUUUCAGAACUGAGGCUAACAGCAUUCCAAAGGAAGACCAGUAAAAAGCCCACCAGUGAUCUGAAUUGAGGUGAUCAUCCAAGAUACAAGACUGUGAGUGUUUGGAACAAGCAUACUUGCACACUGGCACAGUGGUCCUGGGGAAAGGGGCACAGACAGACUUCCACUGUAUUCUUUAGACGACCCAGCAAUACCACUCUCUAAUG